AUUAGGCAAAGCUACAGGCCCCAACUUCUUCUAUUAUUUUGUAGUACCGAGGUGUUAUCUCCCAACACGUCCCCUUACUCUCUGAUCUGAACUGGGGUCAAGGCAGGGGAGUACGAAUCAAUAUUCCACCUCCAAAGACACCAGUCAGAUCUUAAUUUUUUGAUCAACAUGAAACGCUUGUCAUGUAGCUCGGCCAAUUUAUAAUAUCUUCGAUCUACCGACCUUAACUUUAGCAUUUGAUGGAGUUUGUGCUCUGUCGUCUUUACAAGUGGCCUCGGUCAAAGCUCUUCGGGCUUAAUAGCUUGCCAUGAUGUGGCACAUAUUCUAAUAUUUCCAUGAUGGCCUGAUUUGAAGGUGGUGCACAAGAGUUCGCUGUCAACUUCCUCAGG
rnacentral:lncRNA from 1 species